GAUGAACGCUGGCGGCGUGCCUAAUACAUGCAAGUCGAGCGAACAGACGAGGAGCUUGCUCCUUUGACGUUAGCGGCGGACGGGAGAGUAACACGUGGAUAACCUACCUAUAAGACUGGGAUAACUUCGGGAAACCGGAGCUAAUACCGGAUAACAUGUUGAACCGCAUGGUUCAACAGUGAAAGACGGUUUUGCUGUCACUUAUAGAUGGAUCCGCGCCGCAUUAGCUAGUUGGUAAGGUAACGGCUUACCAAGGCAACGAUGCGUAGCCGACCUGAGAGGGUGAUCGGCCACACUGGAACUGAGACACGGUCCAGACUCCUACGGGAGGCAGCAGUAGGGAAUCUUCCGCAAUGGGCGAAAGCCUGACGGAGCAACGCCGCGUGAGUGAAGAAGGUCUUCGGAUCGUAAAACUCUGUUAUUAGGGAAGAACAAAUGUGUAAGUAACUAUGCACGUCUUGACGGUACCUAAUCAGAAAGCCACGGCUAACUACGUG
rnacentral:rRNA from 1 species